rnacentral:tmRNA from 1 species
CCACUUCACAUUCACAAUUGCCGUGCUAUAUCAGCCGGGUCGGGCAACCGACUAUGGUGAUAAAUUGCUGCGUGCAAUAGAUGCAACGGACCCGGGGGCAGUACCCGGCGGCUCCACCAUCUGGGCCCCGCGGUCAGCACGCUUGAAGCGUGCCGACCGAGCGGCUCAGCUGGAGGGGCCGAACCAGGAUCGACGUGUGUUGAAAAGCGUAGUUUUUGCCCGGGCUGAGUAACCCGCAUAAGGCUCAAAACCCAUAAGUGCCAACGAUAACGAAGCACUCGCAAUCGCUGCGUAAUUGAUGGGCUAACGCCCUUCUUUUAUUAGGCUAAAAAGCGCGGUUGGACCGAACCGGGCAACAGAAUCGGAGACC